rnacentral:rRNA from 1 species
UGCGCGCUAGAAUGCAGUCGAACGGUAACAGGAAGCAGCUUGCUGCUUCGCUGACGAGUGGCGGACGGGUGAGUAAUGUCUGGGAAACUGCCUGAUGGAGGGGGAUAACUACUGGAAACGGUAGCUAAUACCGCAUAACGUCGCAAGACCAAAGAGGGGGACCUUCGGGCCUCUUGCCAUCGGAUGUGCCCAGAUGGGAUUAGCUUGUUGGUGGGGUAACGGCUCACCUAGGCGACGAUCCCUAGCUGGUCUGAGAGGAUGACCAGCCACACUGGAACUGAGACACGGUCCAGACUCCUACGGGAGGCAGCAGUGGGGAAUAUUGCACAAUGGGCGCAAGCCUGAUGCAGCCAUGCCGCGUGUAUGAAGAAGGCCUUCGGGUUGUAAAGUACUUUCAGCGGGGAGGAAGGGAGUAAAGUUAAUACCUUUGCUCAUUGACGUUACCCGCAGAAGAAGCACCGGCUAACUCCGUGCCAGCAGCCGCGGUAAUACGGAGGGUGCAAGCGUUAAUCGGAAUUACUGGGCGUAAAGCGCACGCAGGCGGUUUGUUAAGUCAGAUGUGAAAUCCCCGGGCUCAACCUGGGAACUGCAUCUGAUACU